rnacentral:rRNA from 1 species
GACAGAGGGUGCAAACGUUGUUCGGAAUUACUGGGCGUAAAGCGCGUGUAGGCGGCCCUGCAAGUCGGAUGUGAAAUCCCACGGCUCAACCGUGGAAGUGCAUUCGAAACUGCAGGGCUAGAGUCCUGGAGAGGAAGGUGGAAUGCUUGGUGUAGAGGUGAAAUUCGUAGAUAUCAAGCGGAACACCGGUGGCGAAGGCGGCCUUCUGGACAGUGACUGACGCUGAGACGCGAAAGCGUGGGGAGCGAACCGG